rnacentral:rRNA from 1 species
UAAAGAGCCCGCGAAACCGUUAGGAGGGAAGCGCAUGCAGGCGAACGGGCCCCCCACGGGUUCAGGCGGAGCCGCGAGUCGUCCCGCCGGGCGAGAGCCCGGCGAGAGACGGCCGCCUCCGCUGCACUCCCGCGGGCACGGGCCGACCAAGUGCGGUGCGUCGCGGACGAACAGCGCGGUCGGGCAGGUGGCGCAAGCCGUCUUCCCGGCGGGCGAGCUUACAGCCGGCCGCGCGGAGCGCGAGUCCGCGGAGCACCGAGGAGAAGCGGUGGCCUUUCCUUUCCCACCCCUGCAGCGCGGGCCCCGCUCCCCUCCCCGGGAGCGGGGCCGGGGCCCCCGAGGUCCGCCUCCGCCGCCGCGUCGCGGGACUGCGUGCAGUGCCCGACGUCGGCGCGUCGGGACGAGGCUCCGGGGUGUCUUCCCACGCCUCGCGCUGCGGUCGCUUGGCCAGCCGUCGGCUGCAUCCGACCCGUCUUGAAACACGGAAGGGG